CCCUCCCGGCGCCCCAGGACCGCGGCACUGCCCUGGCGGCGGGAGACCGGGUGGGGCCGCCCACCUGAACGCCCCACCACCUGCCCUCUCCUGCCCGCGGCGCUCUCCCUCGGAUUCAGUACCUAGGUGCCGCAGUAUUUCUUAGGUAACCGUUUGCGGACUCUCCAGGACCCACCUGAGAGAUGCAGUGCGGUAGAAACUGAGGUCAAGCGCAUGGGCUUCCGAAACCCGCUUCUGGGUUCACGUCCUGCCCCUAUACUUGCCCUCCAACACCUAUUUAAUCAAUUCCCUAUGCGAAGUUCUCUCCGUGGAAAUACUUCCUUUGGCUUCCUUUUGCCUGACGGCUGGACGCUGACAAAUACAGAUUGUGAAGUGAAAUAUAUCUCCUGUGAAUGUCGAUCCAGAGGGUUUAAGAAACACUAUCUCAGAGGAGUGGGAGAGUUCUUCACCAAACAGAUGCCCUACGUGCCAAGGGUCCAGUCCUUCCACAGACGGGUGCUCUGCGUCUCAGGUCUGUGAAGAGCAGAGACCCAAUUCUGCCACAGCAACUGUCACCGUUGGACCCUAGGCCUAGCGUGGCUUUAAGAAUCACUGGCGAUGAGCUUACAGUUGCCUACCACGGUUUGGCUGGAACCCCAAGCUUCAUGUGGACUCUGACCUCUCUCAGAAAUAGGAACAGGAAACCCAGGACUCGAGGCUGUUAAGCGGAUUGGUAACACUCUGGAGUGUUGCGGGUACGUAACUCAAUGAAUGAAUGUCGAGUCCUCCGUGAUAGCUGGAGUAAUAGUAUUUUCAUUGAGCACCGCAGUAAGUCAUUGAUUGCCUCCACCCGGCGAGAUGCUAAUACAUUAGCACCUAACUGCACGAGGACCUUACAUUUAGUAGAGGAAUCCAUCACCGGAUGUGAAUUACUCAGGCAAAUGUUGGCAAGUUACCUCGCUGGUGACGGGCAGAACCUUUUCUAGCGAGCUGAAAAGCAUGUUACAAGGUAGCUGGCAUGUCAUAGAGGGAGAGCAGCUUGUGAUCAGGUUUUCUAUUUGGAGAAGGCAGUGCUGUGCCAAGCAACCCCAACCACAACACAUUUAAAGUCUGAAUGGGAAAAGGAGCGGUACAUCUGGGAUCCUAUUUCCCCUUCCAAGAAGAUACAAGUCACUCUAGACGGCUUCUCCUGGUUCCAGAGUCCUUUUCCUGCCUGGUUUUUUUUUGGUUUUUUUUUUUUUUUCCUUCUGUGUCCUGUUUUACUUCAACUGUAGGGGAUUGAGAGUGAUGGGCUUGGGAGGCAAAUUCUAUUUCCUCUCUUUCCGCUUGUUUUUCUGCUACAUUUUAGGUCUUCCUCGUGAUUUAUGUGCAUAAAUGAUGGCUUACAUGAAUCAUUCCUAAACGGUUAACUACGCAAGCAAACUGUUCAUCAUCCAGUUCUCCGUGAUAGCCUCUCCUUAUGUUCACCAGGCUGCCUCACUCCUUUCUCAAAUCCCAUCGCAAAUUUCACGUUUCCGAAAAGCCCUCUCUGACAGCUACAAUGAAGACUUCUAACAGCCCUUAUUCAACCUCACCUCUGUCCCUUUUCCCCAGCUCACCAGUUAGCUGUUCUCACUACCUGACGGUGCAGUCACAAUAAAAUAAAGUAGGGACAGCAGACACA